AUGGUGGCGAGAUUGGUGGCCUUCUUCCUUCCUUCUUGGAUCUUCCUUCCUCUCUUCCUCCCCUUCCUUGUCCGAGUGUCAUCAUGGAGAUGGAUGGGCAAAUGGGAAAGCUUCAUUGCGUCGGCGACGUGCUUCUCCCUUUCCAUCUGCGUCGGUGCAGGGCGGGCUCCUCUUGUGUCCUUGGUUACUCAUCCACCAGAUUCCUCUUCAACCUCCAUCUUUGGAGGCCCACAAUGUGGUUCCUGGAACUGGUGCUCCAGCCAUUGGGUAAUUGGUGUUACCCUUUCUCAGUUUAGGUGUUCAUUUGCCUGA
rnacentral:rRNA from 1 species